rnacentral:rRNA from 1 species
AUUGAACGCUGGCGGCAGGCUUAACACAUGCAGGUCGAGCGGGGUGAGGUGCUUCGGUACUGAUCCUAGCGGCGGACGGGUGAGUAAUGCUUAGGAAUCUGCCAUUUAGUGGGGGACAACAUUCCGAAAGGAAUGCUAAUACCGCAUACGUCCUACGGGAGAAAGCAGGGGAUCUUCGGACCUUGCGCUAAAUGAUGAGCCUAAGUCGGAUUAGCUAGUUGGUGGGGUAAAGGCCUACCAAGGCGACGAUCUGUAGCGGGUCUGAGAGGACGAUCCGCCACACUGGGACUGAGACACGGCCCAGACUCCUACGGGAGGCAGCAGUGGGGAAUAUUGGACAAUGGGCGGAAGCCUGAUCCAGCCAUGCCGCGUGUGUGAAGAAGGCCUUUUGGUUGUAAAGCACUUUAAGCGAGGAGGAGGCUACCUAGAUUAAUACUCUGGGAUAGUGGACGUUACUCGCAGAAUAAGCACCGGCUAACUCUGUGCCAGCCGCCGCAGUAACAC